CAGCCGCCGCGGUAAUACGUAGGUGGCAAGCGUUGUCCGGAAUUAUUGGGCGUAAAGGGCUCGCAGGCGGUUUCUUAAGUCUGAUGUGAAAACCCCCGGCUCAACCGGGGAGGGUCAUUGGAAACUGGGAAACUUGAGUGCAGAAGAGGAGAGUGGAAUUCCACGUGUAGCGGUGAAAUGCGUAGAGAUGUGGAGGAACACCAGUGGCGAAGGCGACUCUCUGGUCUGUAACUGACGCUGAGGAGCGAAAGCGUGGGGAGCGAACAGGAUUAGAUACCCGUGUAGUCCCUGUCUCUUAUAC
rnacentral:rRNA from 1 species